CUCAAAAUUUUGACCAUACCUAUAUUUAUGUGGUUACUCUCAACUCAACCUUGUAAUUUUCCACACAAUUUCAAAUGAAUUUAUUUAAGUAAAUUAAAAAUUUCUAAGAGAGUUUCUCUCGAGUCAACAAUUAGUUUUUAAAAGGAAACAACAAUGGUACUCCAUUAUUAUUAACGAAAAAUUGACAUAUGUCAGAAAUAUUUUUGUCAUGUCACAAAUGUGUGACGUGGAUACAAUCAUACAGCUGCCACUUCCGUUAUUACGAAGGCAAAUAAUUUGGUAACCAUGUUUGAAUAAAAGUUUUACUUGGUCAAAUAUACCAAAAUUCACACAUC
rnacentral:lncRNA from 1 species